rnacentral:sRNA from 1 species
AAAAUCUGUUAGGUGAGGCUCCUAUACAAACAUAGGCUACUGCCCAAAAAUGUCGAAAGACGCCAAUGGGUAGAACAGGAAUUGUCGAACAAGGCUUUUCUUAAGGUAGCUAAAAGUGUUAGCUUUUUACGUUGUAUAGUGCCAAAGCUCAAACGACUAG